CCCGGGAAGCUAAUACCGGAUAUGAAGCACUCGGGGCAUCCGAUGUGCUUGGAAAGAUUUAUCGGUUGGGGAUGGGCUCGCGGCCUAUCAGCUUGUUGGUGGGGUAACGGCCCACCAAGGCGACGACGGGUAGCCGGCCUGAGAGGGCGACCGGCCACACUGGGACUGAGACACGGCCCAGACUCCUACGGGAGGCAGCAGUGGGGAAUAUUGCGCAAUGGGCGAAAGCCUGACGCAGCGACGCCGCGUGAGGGACGAAGGCCUUCGGGUUGUAAACCUCUUUCAGCAGGGAAGAAGCGAAAGUGACGGUACCUGCAGAAGAAGCACCGGCUAACUACGUGCCAGCAGCCGCGGUAAUACGUAGGGUGCAAGCGUUGUCCGGAAUUAUUGGGCGUAAAGAGCUCGUAGGCGGUCUGUCGCGUCUGCUGUGAAAACUCGGGGCUUAACCCCGGGCCUGCAGUGGGUACGGGCAGACUAGAGUGCGGUAGGGGAGACUGGAAUUCCUGGUGUAGCGGUGAAAUGCGCAGAUAUCAGGG
rnacentral:rRNA from 1 species